AUGGAUUCAAACUGUCUAAUCUUCACAAAAAUCGAUUAACACAUUAAUGCAUUGUCAAAUUUUUUGAAAUUGCUUGUACUGUUUAAGUGAAAUUCUGUCCUGAAGUUGUUAGCAAUGGAAUAUUUUGUUGAGUCCUAUAAAGUCUGGAAAAAAUUUAAUCAUCCAUUUUGUUUAAAUAUUUCAAGGCCUUCAAUUUUCUUUUCAAAACCAAACCAUAUUAUUGUCGAAUGAUUGUAUAUCUAGAUCAUGUUUGAGAAUGAAUUUAUCAAUGCGAAUGAUAUGUUUACAGAGAUAUGGAAUACCGGUAGGUUACAGUGUGUUACUGAGGAGGAAAUUGAACAAAAUGGUGCUAUGAAAGUGGAUAUUAUAUCAUAGAAUUUUGUCUCUCUUGUUUUCUUUGGUAUGUUUUUAGCAGGCUACAAACAUUUUUAUUUGUGUGACAUAUCUUCCAUUACAGUGUAUGAUGAACAACACACCAAUUCCAUGUAUCUGUUCAAUUAAGUCUCUUUUUAGAACAUUUAUAUUAUUGUUUCUUUUUCUUUUGUCUUGUGUAAGCUUUUUCUAAAUUCACUAUCACUAAUAAAGAUAUCAGUAUUC
rnacentral:misc_RNA from 1 species